CAUACCACUGCUAGAAAGGAGAGACACCAUAUAAAUGUUUUCAUUUUUCCUUUCUUUCAUCUGUUCUAGGCAAGGUAGAAAGCAUUAAUCAAACAUGGCGCAAUCCAUAACAUGAUUAUGUUAUGAGUUCUGACCAAUCCCUUGCUGUAUCUGUCAUGAAAAUUUGGAUUUAGGGGAUCUGCCGUACCUGAUCCUUGUUGUAUCCAUACUCAGGUACUAUAUUUUUAUACAAUUUUCUCCAAGAAGAUAGUCAUGCAUGUGAUUUAGCAGUGAGAAGAAGAAAAAGAAGGAGACAAGUUUUAUUCUUUUGCCAGAGAAGAAGGUGACAAGUUUUAUUAUUUAUAGGUUUUGACCCUUCCACUUUCAUGCCUGAUUAAAGUUCUCCUCUGCCCUUUGAUUUUACAAAUGCAGAUGGGCUUGUUACCUGAGGUAGAUGGUGGAAAAGAUAUUUUAUUUGAUUGUAUGUGCUGUACUAAUGUUCUGCAUUUUUGGAGUCAUAUCAUUUCCAGCAGGCUUAUGUUUUUUAAUGCUAUAAAUUUCAGGUUGUAUCGUGGUGAUCCAGUGCCAAAUCCUCUUACACCUUGGGAUAGACCUCCAUUGAAAAACAUUUUCUGUAUAUAUGGGAUAGAUAUGAAGACUAAGGUAAUGUGCUAUUUUAUUUGAAUAAUAAUUAUUUCUAAAUUCUUCUUUUAAAAAAAAAAUUGUAAUUUGUUAUGGCUGAGCUAAUUGUGGUACUGCAUCUGUCUAACCCGGACAUUCCUGAGUUAAUUUUUGGAUUCUCAUUGGGUAUGAGUGAAGUUUGUGAGUGUUUAACUCCUGAUACUGUAAAUAAUAAGUAUCAUGGAUGUGAAGACUGGUGGAGGCAAGUUUUUUCAGCACAAGGCUUAUUGUGAAAAGCAUAGCUUGGAUCAGAAAAAGAAGGUCAUAUCAAUUGCUUUUGAAGAAUGAAUAUCUUAUGAUGCAUUGUCUUUCAUAGGAUAAAAGUCUUAUGUUACAAUGCAUAAGUUUAUUUCCCCUGCCUCAUCUUGGUUUUUAUCAAUUUCUACAGGUUGAGAGUCUGCAACAUGGACCUGAUGAGGUCCGUCGCAUUAAGCAAAUCCGGCCAGUAGGCCAGAGCUACCUAUUGAGGUUGCAGGGCCUGCUAUGCACAAUUCGAAUGGAGAAUGCUGGUGGAGGCAAUGAUGACGUUGGCCUGAAAGCAGCAGAAGAUGGACGGGCAGUGUUAUCUCAGGGUCCGCCAAGCACGACGGUACUGGUGAUGACGGGCGCGACCAUGACUUUGUAUUAUUUGUGGAACGUAGUGUUGUGUAACAGUUUGAUUGAGUUAAACUUUAAAUAGAUUGUUGUUAACUGUUUUGUUGGUA